UCUAAGUGGUAAAAACUACCUAAUUUAACAACCAUGAAAUUUGUACCUAUAAAACCAUAAGAAAAUUAUAGUAAUUGCAUGCAAAGGAAAAGAAGUAUGACUCAAAUGAUCAUGUUUCUUGCUUUGGUCAUCUUUCUUUCUCUACCUUUUGUUCUAACCAUUAGAACUAGCAUUCCUUGCGUUUCUGACAUUGAUUGUCCAGUGCCUCCAAACAGCAUACCUCUACUUUUGAAAUGUGUUGAAAAUUAUUGUUCUUUCUCGUUCGUGUAACAAUUAAGUUUAAGAAAAUAAUCAUGUUAACUAUAAGCGUAUAAUUUUUUGUACUUCAUAAUGUUUGUACUUUUAAAAUUUACUUCAAAAUAAUUCGAUGUAUGUUUCUCAUUCCUUUCAA